rnacentral:lncRNA from 1 species
CCAGACCCACCAGCGGAAAAAUGGCCAAAAAACGGUGGGCUAUUGCCUUGGUGGGGUGCGUGGGCGAAGUUCGUCCGCGGGACUCGGAAUGGCACCAGACUUGGCGGGCGGCCUCCGUGUGCCAAAAAUAGGCCACGGGCACAGCCGCGCCCAAAAAACAGCCCCCGAAGUUCGGGGUCCCAAGACCCCCCAGCGGAAAAAUGGCCAAAAAACGGGUGGGCUAUAGCCUUGGUGGGGGGCGUGGGCGAAGUUCGUCCGCGGGACUCGGAAUGGCACCAGACUUGGCGGGCGGCCUCCGUGUGCCAAAAAUAGGCCACGGGCACAGCCGCGCCCAAAAAACAGCCCCCAAAGUUCGGGGUCCCAAGACCCCCCAGCGGAAAAAUGGCCAAAAAACGGUGGGCUAUAGCCUUCGUGGGGGGCGUGGGCGAAGUUCGUCCGCGGGACUCGGAAUGGCACCAGACUUGGCGGGCGGCCUCCGUGUGCCAAAAAUAGGCCACGGGCACAGCCGCGCCCAAAAAACAGCCCCCGAAGUUCGGGGUCCCGGACCCCCCAGCGGAAAAAUGGCCAAAAAACGGGUGGGCUAUAGCCUUGGUGGGGGGCGUGGGCGAAGUUCGUCCGCGGGACUCGGAAUGGCACCAGACUUGGCGGGCGGCCUCCGUGUGCCAAAAAUAGGCGACGGGCACAGCCGCGCCCAAAAAACAGCCCCCGAAGUUCGGGGUCCCAAGACCCCCAAGCGGAAAAAUGGCCAAAAAACGGGUGGGCUAUAGCCUUGGUGGGGGGCGUGGGCGAAGUUCGUCCGCGGGACUCGGAAUGGCACCAGACUUGGCGGGCGGCCUCCGUGUGCCAAAAAUAGGCCACGGGCACAGCCGCGCCCAAAAAACAGCCCCCGAAGUUCGGGGUCCCAAGACCCCCCAGCGGAAAAAUGGCCAAAAAACGGGUGGGCUAUAGCCUUGGUGGGGGGCGUGGGCGAAGUUCGUCCGCGGGACUCGGAAUGGCACCAGACUUGGCGGGCGGCCUCCGUGUGCCAAAAAUAGGCCACGGGCACAGCCGCGCCCAAAAAACAGCUCCCGAAGUUCGGGGUCCCAAGACCCCCCAGCGGAAAAAUGGCCAAAAAACGGGUGGGCUAUAGCCUUGGUGGGGGGCGUGGGCGAAGUUCGUCCGCGGGACUCGGAAUGGCACCAGACUUGGCGGGCGGCCUCCGUGUGCCAAAAAUAGGCCACGGGCACAGCCGCACCCAAAAAACAGCCCCCGAAGUUCGGGGUCCCAAGACCCCCCAGCGGAAAAAUGGCCAAAAAACGGGUGGGCUAUAGCCUUGGUGGGGGGCGUGGGCGAAGUUCGUCCGCGGGACUCGGAAUGGCACCAGACUUGGCGGGCGGCCUCCGUGUGCCUAAAAUAGGCCACGGGCACAGCCGCGCCUAAAAAACAGCCCCCGAAGUUCGGGGUCCCAAGACCCCCCAGCGGAAAAAUGGCCAAAAAACGGUGGGCUAUAGCCUUGGUGGGGGGCGUGGGCGAAGUUCGUCCGCGGGACUCGGAAUGGCACCAGACUUGGCGGGCGGCCUCCGUGUGCCAAAAAUAGGCCACGGGCACAGCCGCGCCCAAAAAACAGCCCCCGAAGUUCGGGGUCCCAAGACCCCCCAGCGGAAAAAUGGCCAAAAAACGGGCGGGCUAUAGCCUUGGUGGGGGGCGUGGGCGAAGUUCGUCCACGGGACUCGGAAUGGCACCAGACUUGGCGGGCGGCCUCCGUGUGCCAAAAAUAGGCCACGGGCACAGCCGCGCCCAAAAAACAGCCCCCGAAGUUCGGGGUCCCAAGACCCCCCAGCGGAAAAAUGGCCAAAAAACGGGUGGGCUAUAGCCUUGGUGGGGGGCGUGGGCGAAGUUCGUCCGCGGGACUCAGAAUGGCACCAGACUUGGCGGGCGGCCUCCGUGUGCCAAAAAUAGGCCACGGGCACAGCCGCGCCCAAAAAACAGCCCCCGAAGUUCGGGGUCCCAAGACCCCCCAGCGGAAAAAUGGCCAAAAAACGGGUGGGCUAUAGCCUGGUGGGGGGCGUGGGCGAAGUUCGUCCGCGGGACUCGGAAUGGCACCAGACUUGGCGGGCGGCCUCCGUGUGCCAAAAAUAGGCCACAGCACAGCCGCGCCCAAAAAACAGCCCCCGAAGUUCGGGGUCCCAAGACCCCCCAGCGGAAAAAUGGCCAAAAAACGGGUGGGCUAUAGCCUUGGUGGGGGGCGUGGGCGAAGUUCGUCCGCGGGACACGGAAUGGCACCAGACUUGGCGGGCGGCCUCCGUGUGCCAAAAAUAGGCCACAGGCACAGCCGCGCCCAAAAAACAGCCCCCGAAGUUCGGGGUCCCAAGACCCCCGAGCGGAAAAAUGGCCAAAAAACGGGUGGGCUAUAGCCUUGGUGGGGGGCGUGGGCGAAGUUCGUCCGCGGGACUCGGAAUGGCACCAGACUUGGCGAGCGGCCUCCGUGUGCCAAAAAUAGGCCACGGGCGCAGCCGCGCCCAAAAAACAGCCCCCGAAGUUCGGGGUCCCAAGACCCCCCAGCGGAAAAAUGGCCAAAAAACGGUGGGCUAUAGCCUUGGUGGGGUGCGUGGAUGAAGUUCGUCCGCGGGAUUCGGAAUGGCACCAGACUUGGCGGGCGGCCUCCGUGUGCCAAAAAUAGGCCACGGGCACAGCCGCGCCCAAAAAACAGCCCCCGAAGUUCGGGGUCCCAAGACCCCCCAGCGGAAAAAUGGCCAAAAAACGGGUGGGCUAUAGCCUUGGUGGGUGGCGCCCAAAAGUUCGUCCGCGGGACUCGGAAUGGCACCAGACUUGGGGGGCGGCCUCCGUGUGCAAAAAAUAGGCCACGGGCACAGCCGCGCCCAAAAAACAGCCCCCGAAGUUCGGGGUCCCAAGACCCCCCAGCGGAAAAAUGGCCAAAAAACGGGUGGGCUAUAGCCUUGGUGGGGGGCGUGGGCGAAGUUCGUCCGCGGGACUCGGAAUGGCACCAGACUUGGCGGGCGGCCUCCGUGUACCAAAAAUAGACCACGGGCACAGCCGCGCCCAAAAAACAGCCCCCGAAGUUCGGGGUCCCAAGACCCCCCAGCGGAAAAAUGGCCAAAAAACGGUGGGCUAUAGCCUUGGUGGGGGGCGUGGGCGAAGUUCGUCCGCGGGACUCGGAAUGGCACCAGACUUGGCGGGCGGCCUCCGUGUGCCAAAAAUAGGCCACGGGCACAGCCGCGCCCAAAAAACAACCCCCGAAGUUCGGGGUCCCAAGACACCCCAGCGGAAAAAUGGCCAAAAAACGGUGGGCUAUAGCCUUAGUGGGGUGCGUGGGCGAAGUUCGUCCGCGGGACUCGGAAUGGCACAAGACUUGGCGGGCGGCCUCUGUGUGCCAAAAUAGGCCACGGGCACAGCCGCGCCCAAAAAACAGCCCCCGAAGUUCGGGGUCCCAAGACCCCCCAGCGGAAAAAUGGCCAAAAAACGGUGGGCUAUAGCCUUGGUGGGGGGCGUGGGCGAAGUUCGUCCGCGGGACUCGGAAUGG